AGCCCUUCGCUGGCCAGCUUUAG
rnacentral:miRNA from 1 species